rnacentral:rRNA from 1 species
AGUGAACGCUGGCGGUAGGCCUAACACAUGCAAGUCGAACGGCAGCACAGUAAGAGCUUGCUCUUACGGGUGGCGAGUGGCGGACGGGUGAGGAAUACAUCGGAAGCUACUUUUUCGUGGGGGAUAACGUAGGGAAACUUACGCUAAUACCGCAUACGACCUACGGGUGAAAGCAGGGGAUCUUCGGACCUUGCGCGAUUGAAUGAGCCGAUGUCGGAUUAGCUAGUUGGCGGGGUAAAGGCCCACCAAGGCGACGAUCCGUAGCUGGUCUGAGAGGAUGAUCAGCCACACUGGAACUGAGACACGGUCCAGACUCCUACGGGAGGCAGCAGUGGGGAAUAUUGGACAAUGGGCGCAAGCCUGAUCCAGCCAUACCGCGUGGGUGAAGAAGGCCUUCGGGUUGUAAAGCCCUUUUGUUGGGAAAGAAAAGCAGCAGGUUAAUACCCCGCUGUUCUGACGGUACCCAAAGAAUAAGCACCGGCUAACUUCGUG